rnacentral:piRNA from 1 species
UCUUCCCACCUUGAAGUAAGAAAGUAAUUU